GCUAGCUUUGCAGUUUGAAGAGAGUUCCGUGACACAAUUUAAGGCCCGCAGUGCAGCACGUUUUAAAGUAUUGGGAUCGCUUUUGCAAGCUUUCUACUGAGCUACACAUCCAACAACAUUAAAAACAAGGUAUAAAUAAACGAGAUGAGUACCCCAAGGCCCAGUCCAUUUUUCCCCGGUCUCAAGAGCACAAUUCCCUGUCUCAAAGAAACGGUCUUCAGGAGCAAGGAGUGGAUAUCGUGGACUGACAUGUCUGACGCAAUGCUAGCUAGCUGCAAGAUUCAAGUGGACUAGUGACUGCAAAGGGACCGCCAAGUCAAACCAGGAGAAUCGCCCCUGCUAAGAUUAGUCCUGUAUUUCCUUCCCUGGUCCACUUAAUCCGUGGACUGUUGGAUCAGUGGUCUGGUAAAUUUUCUAAAUGCUCUAA